AGCAGCCGCGGUAAUUCCAGCUCCAAUAGCGUAUAUUAAAGUUGUUGCAGUUAAAAAGCUCGUAGUUGAAUUUCGGGGUUAGUAGGUUGGUCGUGCCACUGGUACGUACUGGUCUCACUGAUUCCUCCUUCCUGAUGAACUGUAAUGCCAUUAAUUUGGUGUUGCAGGGAAACUGGACUGUUACUUUGAAAAAAUUAGAGUGUUUAAAGCAAGCUAACGCUUGAAUACAUUAGCAUGGAAUAAUGAAAUAGGACGUUCGAUCCUAUUUUGUUGGUUUCUAGGAUUGACGUAAUGAUUAAUAGGGAUAGUUGGGGGCAUUAGUAUUCAAUUGUCAGAGGUGAAAUUCUUGGAUUUAUUGAAGACUAACUACUGCGAAAGCAUUUGCCAAGGAUGUUUUCAUUAAUCAAGAACGAAAGUUAGGGGAUCGAAGACGAUCAGAUACCGUCGUAGUCUUAACCAUAAACUAUGCCGACCAGGGAUCGGAUGAUGUUAAUUUUUUAAUGACUCAUUCGGCGCCUUA
rnacentral:misc_RNA from 1 species